UAACUUCAUUAUAUUGUUUCGGAAAUGUCUUGACAUCAGCUUUAACAAUAUGUAAUAGAAAAUAGGAGUUUCCAUUUAAGAUUUCAAAGUUGACCUUCGCGGUGUCCUUCAAGGUUACAUGAAGGUUAUUUCAAUAUAACCAUAUAAUAGACCACUUAAUAUACUAAAACUUUUGUAUUGAACAUUUUCUUCCAUAAUCAUUAUUUUCUAAGAUAUUUGACCGUUACGGAACUUUCUCCCAUCACUGUAUAUACUGGCUUCUCGAACCAAGAACUCGAUGACCAAGUUCUAGUAUCGUCAUAUAAUAGAAAUAAAUACUUUCUCUAUAUAUACUUGUACUUUGAUCUUAACAAAUGGACGGAUUAAAAUUAUAUUGAAAUAUCUUCAGGAAAUCCUACGAAUAACUAUUUAUUAUCGAUCUGUAUCGUUCGGAUCAUUUUGAUCAAAAUGGGAUGUCCUGCGGAGAUCGUUCAUAGAUAUCCACAGGACAUGCUACACGGGAUACCCUCAGGUAAUCCUAC